rnacentral:RNase_P_RNA from 1 species
AAAGUCGGUCAGGCAAUCGCGCUUUAAACGUUGUUUAAAGUGAGGAAAGUCCGGGCUCCAUAGGGUAAAGUGCCAGGUAACGCCUGGGAGACGUGAGUCUACGGAAAGUGCCACAGAAAUGAUACCGCCUAAUCUGAUUAGGUAAGGGUGAAAUGGUGCGGUAAGAGCGCACCGCGCAACUGGUAACAGUUGUGGCAGGGUAAACCCCACUGGGAGCAAGACCAAAUAGGAAUUCAUUUGACGUAAGUCAAAACGCACGACCCGUGCGGAAUUCGGGUAGGUCGCAUGAGAUAAAUGGUGACAUUUAUCCUAGAUGAAUGGUUGUCCACGACAGAACCCGGCUUAUCGACCGACUUUUUUU